rnacentral:rRNA from 1 species
CGUGUGCUUACAAGUAGUCAGAGCCCGUUAAUGGGUGAUGGCGUGCCUUUUGUAGAAUGAACCGGCGAGUUACGAUUUGAUGCAAGGUUAAGCAGUAAAUGUGGAGCCGUAGCGAAAGCGAGUCUGAAUAGGGCGUUUAGUAUUUGGUCGUAGACCCGAAACCAGGUGAUCUACCCUUGGUCAGGUUGAAGUUCAGGUAACACUGAAUGGAGGACCGAACCGACUUACGUUGAAAAGUGAGCGGAUGAACUGAGGGUAGCGGAGAAAUUCCAAUCGAACCUGGAGAUAGCUGGUUCUCUCCGAAAUAGCUUUAGGGCUAGCCUCAAGUGAUGAUUAUUGGAGGUAGAGCACUGUUUGGACGAGGGGCCCCUCUCGGGUUACCGAAUUCAGACAAACUCCGAAUGCCAAUUAAUUUAACUUGGGAGUCAGAACAUGGGUGAUAAGGUCCGUGUUCGAAAGGGAAACAGCCCAGACCACCAGCUAAGGUCCCAAAAUAUAUGUUAAGUGGAAAAGGAUGUGGCGUUGCCCAGACAACUAGGAUGUUGGCUUAGAAGCAGCCAUCAUUUAAAGAGUGCGUAAUAGCUCACUAGUCGAGUGACACUGCGCCGAAAAUGUACCGGGGCUAAACAUAUUACCGAAGCUGUGGAUUGUCCUUUGGACAAUGGUAGGAGAGCGUUCUAAGGGCGUUGAAGCAUGAUCGUAAGGACAUGUGGAGCGCUUAGAAGUGAGAAUGCCGGUGUGAGUAGCGAAAGACGGGUGAGAAUCCCGUCCACCGAUUGACUAAGGUUUCCAGAGGAAGGCUCGUCCGCUCUGGGUUAGUCGGGUCCUAAGCUGAGGCCGACAGGCGUAGGCGAUGGAUAACAGGUUGAUAUUCCUGUACCACCUAUAAUCGUUUUAAUCGAUGGGGGGACGCAGUAGGAUAGGCGAAGCGUGCGAUUGGAUUGCACGUCUAAGCAGUAAGGCUGAGUAUUAGGCAAAUCCGGUACUCGUUAAGGCUGAGCUGUGAUGGGGAGAAGACAUUGAGUCUUCGAGUCGUUGAUUUCACACUGCCGAGAAAAGCCUCUAGAUAGAAAAUAGGUGCCCGUACCGCAAACCGACACAGGUAGUCAAGAUGAGAAUUCUAAGGUGAGCGAGCGAACUCUCGUUAAGGAACUCGGCAAAAUGACCCCGUAACUUCGGGAGAAGGGGUGCUCUUUAGGGUUAACGCCCAGAAGAGCCGCAGUGAAUAGGCCCAAGCGACUGUUUAUCAAAAACACAGGUCUCUGCUAAACCGUAAGGUGAUGUAUAGGGGCUGACGCCUGCCCGGUGCUGGAAGGUUAAGAGGAGUGGUUAGCUUCUGCGAAGCUACGAAUCGAAGCCCCAGUAAACGGCGGCCGUAACUAUAACGGUCCUAAGGUAGCGAAAUUCCUUGUCGGGUAAGUUCCGACCCGCACGAAAGGCGUAACGAUUUGGGCACUGUCUCAACGAGAGACUCGGUGAAAUCAUAGUACCUGUGAAGAUGCAGGUUACCCGCGACAGGACGGAAAGACCCCGUGGAGCUUUACUGUAGCCUGAUAUUGAAAUUCGGCACAGCUUGUACAGGAUAGGUAGGAGCCUUUGAAACGUGAGCGCUAGCUUACGUGGAGGCGCUGGUGGGAUACUACCCUAGCUGUGUUGGCUUUCUAACCCGCACCACUUAUCGUGGUGGGAGACAGUGUCAGG